GGACCCGCACAAGCAGCGGAGCAUGUGGUUUAAUUCGAAGCAACGCGAAGAACCUUACCUGGACUUGACAUCCUUCUGCUCGGUAAGUAACGUUACCCUUCCCUUCGGGGACAGAAGAGACAGGUGGUGCAUGGUUGUCGUCAGCUCGUGUCGUGAGAUGUUGGGUUAAGUCCCGCAACGAGCGCAACCCUUGUCUUUAGUUGCCAUCAGGUAAAGCUGGGCACUCUAGAGAGACCGCCGGGGAUAACUCGGAGGAAGGUGGGGAUGACGUCAAAUCAUCAUGCCCCUUAUGUUCAGGGCUACACACGUGCUACAAUGGCCGAUACAAAGGGCAGCAAGAGGGUAACCUUAAGCAAAUCUCAUAAAGUCGGUCUCAGUUCGGAUUGUGGGCUGAAACUCGCCCACAUGAAGUUGGAGUUGCUAGUAAUCGCGAAUCAGCAUGUCGCGGUGAAUGCGUUCCCGGGUCUU
rnacentral:rRNA from 1 species